GUGGGGAAUUUUGCGCAAUGGGGGAAACCCUGACGCAGCAACGCCGCGUGAGUGAUGAAGGCCUUCGGGUCGUAAAGCUCUGUCAGAGGGGAAGAAGUGUGGGGUGGCUAAUAUCCAUUUCACUUGACGGUACCUUCAAAGGAAGCACCGGCUAACUCCGUGCCAGCAGCCGCGGUAAUACGGAGGGUGCGAGCGUUGUUCGGAAUUAUUGGGCGUAAAGCGCGUGUAGGCGGUUUUUUAAGUCUGAUGUGAAAGCCCUGGGCUCAACCCGGGAAGUGCAUUGGAAACUGGGAGACUUGAAUACGGGAGAGGGCAGUGGAAUUCCUGGUGUAGGAGUGAAAUCCGUAGAUAUCAGGAGGAACACCGGUGGCGAAGGCGGCUGCCUGGACCGAUAUUGACGCUGAGACGCGAAAGCGUGGGGAGCAAACAGGAUUAGAUACCCUUGUAGUCC
rnacentral:rRNA from 1 species